rnacentral:rRNA from 1 species
AGCAGCCGCGGUAAUUCCAGCUCCAAUAGCGUAUAUUAAAGUUGCUGCAGUUAAAAAGCUCGUAGUUGAAUUUCGGGACCAAUAUGUCGGUCGUGCCUCGGUACGUACUGGCAUCGUUGGUUUCUCCCUUCUGACGAACCAUGAUGUCAUUUAUUUGGUGUCGUGGGGAAUCAGGACUGUUACUUUGAAAAAAUUAGAGUGUUUAAAGCAGGCUCACGCUUGAAUACAUUAGCAUGGAAUAAUGAAAUAGGACGUUUGAUUCUAUUUUGUUGGUUUCUAGGAUCGACGUAAUGAUUAAUAGGGAUAGUUGGGGGCAUUAGUAUUCAAUUGUCAGAGGUGAAAUUCUUGGAUUUAUUGAAGACUAACUACUGCGAAAGCAUUUGCCAAGGAUGUUUUCAUUAAUCAAGAACGAAAGUUAGGGGACCGAAGACGAUCAGAUACCGUCGUAGUCUUAACCAUAAACUAUGCCGACUAGGGAUCGGAUGAUGUAAUUUUUAAUGACUCAUUCGGCGCCUUAAC